CACGUAGGGCGCAAGCGUUGUCCGGAAUUAUUGGGCGUAAAGAGCUCGUAGGCGGACUGUCACGUCUGCUGUGAAAAGCUGGGGCUUAACCCUGGCCUUGCAGUGGAUACGGGCAGACUAGAGGUAGGUAGGGGAGAAUGGAAUUCCCGGUGUAGCGGUGAAAUGCGCAGAUAUCGGGAGGAACACCGGUGGCGAAGGCGGUUCUCUGGGCCUUACCUGACGCUGAUGCACGAAAGCUAGGGGAGCAAACAGG
rnacentral:rRNA from 1 species